GGGUGUUAUCCAGCGUGAUGGCUCUGAGGAGGAUAGAGAACUGAUUGAGAGAUUCUGUCAGGGUCAUCCCCAAGCCUCCCUCUGAAGCAGCAUGGGGCUGGGGAAGGGGAGAAUUCUGGGGACUCACUGGACAUUAUCUUUUCUGAUCCUCAUAACCCUGUGAAGGAAGGCAGGAUGAAGAGUAUAAUCCCUGUUUUUGAGAUAUCUGGUCUAUGCCUGAUCAUAAGUUGGUCUCAAUGCCUCUGCCCGAUGUGCCCUGCCCCAUGAGGAAAACCAUACUCACAUUCUGCUGCUGGGUGGAAUCUUCCGGCCAUCUCGGAACCAGCAUGAAGAGGAUCAGGGCUGAUUUCAGACCUGGGCCAGGAGCCUCAGACAAAGGAGCCUUGGAGAGUUUUGGUAUCCAUAUAGUUGAAUGAGAUUUUUUUAAAAAUUCAGUGUAAAGGAAGGAGGGAGAAAGAGAGAGAGGUUGGGAGGGAAAAACUGGAACCAUUUUGAGAGGGAGAUGGGUAUGGUUGAAAAGUGAUCUCUUCUCUUUUCUUUUUGCUUUAAAAAAUAAAAAAAAUAACA